AGUGAACGCUGGCGGUAGGCCUAACACAUGCAAGUCGGACGGCAGCACAGUAAGAGCUUGCUCUUACGGGUGGCGAGUGGCGGACGGGUGAGGAAUACAUCGGAAUCUACUUUUUCGUGGGGGAUAACGUAGGGAAACUUACGCUAAUACCGCAUACGACCUACGGGUGAAAGCAGGGGAUCUUCGGACCUUGCGCGAUUGAAUGAGCCGAUGUCGGAUUAGCUAGUUGGCGGGGUAAAGGCCCACCAAGGCGACGAUCCGUAGCUGGUCUGAGAGGAUGAUCAGCCACACUGGAACUGAGACACGGUCCAGACUCCUACGGGAGGCAGCAGUGGAGAAUAUUGGACAAUGGGCGCAAGCCUGAUCCAGCCAUACCGCGUGGGUGAAGAAGGCCUUCGGGUUGUAAAGCCCUUUUGUUGGGAAAGAAAAGCAGCAGGUUAAUACCCCGCUGUUCUGACGGUACCCAAAGAAUAAGCACCGGCUAACUUCGUG
rnacentral:rRNA from 1 species